CAGCAGCCGCGGUAAUACGAAGGGGGCUAGCGUUGCUCGGAAUUACUGGGCGUAAAGGGCGCGUAGGCGGACAGUUCAGUCGGGGGUGAAAGCCCGGGGCUCAACCUCGGAAUUGCCUUCGAUACUGGCUGUCUUGAGUAUGAGAGAGGUGUGUGGAACUCCGAGUGUAGAGGUGAAAUUCGUAGAUAUUCGGAAGAACACCAGUGGCGAAGGCGACACACUGGCUCAUUACUGACGCUGAGGCGCGAAAGCGUGGGGAGCAAACAGGAUUAGAUACCCCCGUAGUCCCUGUCUCUUAUAC
rnacentral:rRNA from 1 species